AGUGCACUGUGGAGCGUGAAGCGAGAGGUCUGUGAACGCUUGACCGGGCUCCUGGGCCAUCAGUGUCUUAACCAGAGAGAAAGGACACUUUGAGAACAAUGAGACACGAAGCUCCCAUGCAGCUCUUAUUUGGUCCUAUGGACAGAGCUAGGUUCCUCUGCGCGGCUAUGGUUGAGGCUAUUUUGACGAGAGAUAGUAUACAUUAUCUUCCCAGUCUUCGCAAGGAGAAUGAGGGUGUCUAAAAUUUAAACCCGAGCAAACAAAAGUCGGAGGAACGUGCAUCUCGUAUUGGCAUUGAUUGUCCCUGCUAGCUAGCCUGGUUUGUGAUCGCGGCACUAACACAGACUUAAGGUCAGGUUCCCAAUUGUGAGCUCUCUACUGGAGUUAGGGUAGAACGAUUUCCUUAUCUCUGAGAUCAGGUUAAGAAAGGAGUAGCCAAUGUUAAGCAUCCUCAAAGUCACCUUUCUUCUAUUAGAGUUCUAGUAGUAUCAUCGGAAAAUAGCAAACACGUUGGGACUUCAAACAUCUCUGAGGUAUGCAAGCCCUUUAUUGCUGUCCAUACAGUUGGUUUACUCCUGCGUUUCAGCGAUUCUCCUCUGAGCUUUUCUGGUGAUGUGCCCAUUUGUUGUACGUUCCGAUUCUCUAUUUCAGUCACACUCUUACUUUUGCUUCCUUUGAUUCUGGUGCACAGGUGCCUCUGCCUAAGCAUCUUGCUUAAGUUUUGUUUCUAAGUAGGAUGAGUGAUGCUUUCUCGUUUUUAUGUACAACCAGUUAACGCUCGACAUCAGCUUGGGUUCAUUACCAAGCAGAGCGAUCCUAUUGCGCUACAGAAAGGCACUUUAUGAAUGGGAUUGAGAGGGGAAUGGAACACACCAUUUGGAAAGUGUUCUCUCUUUUGAGAAUCCACCUCUGCUGCCAAAUCCAAGGAUAUAAGUGUCUGACUUUAAUUCGUGCUUAGACAUUUUCCAACUCUUUUCCUAAAGGGCUUCAAUUUACUUUUCAUUUAUGGUCUGGGUUAUGUAUCUUAAGAUAUAUAUGUGUGUGUGUGUACAUACAUAUAUACACAUGACUGGACUGUUCAAUUAAAAAAUCUGUAGGAUUUGUUUGCUGAAGGAUUAUAUGAUGGAAGUCCUCAAGUUACCUUAUGAGUUAUUGAAAAUUUGAUUUGUUCCAGAGAACAGUGGCCCCAUUGUGUAUCUAUCUUCUAAUACCUCUGUUUGUGACUUAGUUUUUCAUUCUAGACCUGAUGUGGAAAGAAUCUGGACAAUAAAGGUACAGGCUGUUGCAAUCAAGAUAGAUUGGUUUAUGAUAAUUCUCCUUACCUGAGGUACUGCCAGGAGCCAACUGGCUAAAUUAAUCAUAUUUGAUUAUAAUUAAACAUUGACAAUAGACUUUACAAAUAGAUUGUUAGUAUUUAACUUCCACCCAUACAUGUAUAUAAGUAUUUAUGUCAAAAUAAAUGACUAAUGAAUUAAUCAUACUGCAUCUUAAUUUUUAUUUUCUUACAGUAAUUGCUUAGAGAGUUUAGAAAGAUCAUUAAAAACAGUAAUUGCUUAGAGAGUUUAGAAAGAUCAUUACAGAAUUGUAUGAAAUUAGUGCCUUAAGAAAUGUUUUAAAUUAUUUCUUACCAACUUUAUUUCAUACCAACUUUGUAGUAGGUACUGUAAUUCCACAUUUUAGUCAGAAGUUUAAUGAAUAAUUAACAUAAAAACAGGUAACAAAAUUAAUUUGCUUCUGGUUGCAAUUAUUUUCAUAUGAUGUAUUUUAUUCACUAGACUCAACUUUUCAAAUUAAAAAAUUUAAAUGCCCAAAUGCUAUCAUGAAUAACAUGUAUAUUUUUUAAAAAAUCAAAGACUUUUCUGUAGUAUAUUCAGUUAAAGCACAUUUAUUGAUUCAGUUUACCAAGUAAAUUGUUCUUGUGGUAGCCAUCUCUUUAUUACUAUUUGCUUUUCAAACAUGUAAUAAUUGGAAGAACAAAAACUAUAACAUGCUUCAUAUAUAUGUGUAUAUAUACACACACAUAUAUAUGUAUAUAUAUUUUAAAUGGCAAGUAAUGUGUCAGCACCUGUACUUCUGAAUCAUAAUUACAUUCCAGGUGACUCUGAUAUAUGAGAAUGCAACCAGAUAAAUAGUUGAUUUUUUUUUCCAUUUAAAGACUGAACCACGUCAUCAUUUUAAGUAUAUAAUCCUAAGCUUUUACUUAGGUUUCUAGAAAAUGAGUCUCAAGCAAAACCACACUCCGUAGCUUCAUUGUCCUAAGAUAUUCUUUUCCCUAUUUGAAAAUAUUUAGUUGAUUUGUUUGGUGAAACAAAAUGAGCUCUUUAAUUGUUGAUUUCUUAAUUUAUUAUAUUUUCUUAAAUCAUAGAAUCCUUUGAAAUUAGUUAAUAUCUUUUAAAAAGCAUUUAAUGUGCCUAUGUAAAUAGCUUGUUGUUUUGUUCAAGGUAGUUAUCUUUGACAUAUACAAAUUUUCUGAGGAAUAUUUCCCUCCGAGUUGAAGCAAAAUGAGGGGAAACUGUUGUUUUAUAGUGACUAUUGAAAUAAUAAACAGUAAUAGCCUCUGCUGUCUGUAUUUCCUUUGCAACUAAAUAAUCAGGGAUAGCAUUUUGUAAGUGUUCAAAAGGAUGAGUUAGAAUUUAAAGCAGGAAAUGGUCAUUUUGUGUUUUCUCAUUUAGUGCAUCCAUAAAUCUUGAGGCCAAAUGAAAGGGAGGAUAGUAGUGCUCCUAACUUGAGGGCAAGACUCUCAUGAAAAAAAUUGUCAUUUCAUUCAUGAACCAGAUAACAAAUUCCAGUUUAUAUGGUGCUUUGUCUGUGCCAAGCACUGUGCCUUGAAUUCAGAUCUCAGUAUUGUGUGUGUGUGUAAAAUAUAAAACAGUCUUAGAGGUCAUCAUUACCUUAACUGUAGGCAGAUAACAGGAGCUUAUUAAGAUUAAUCAGUUUUCCAAACACAGUAAAUUCACAAUUCUCCUAGAUAUCUAGAAGGUCCAUGCUCUUUCUUCUAUUAUUUUGGGUUCCUCAAGAAGACAUGAGAGAAUGUGUAAAGAAUAAGGGCAGUAUUGAUACAGUGUGAUUUAUUCAUUUGGCUCAUAGGAAACAAAAAUUGUCUCUUCUGCUUGUAAAGUUAUAUAAACUAAACCAAAUAUUUGAGAAGAGCCGAUAUUUUAAAAAUGCCCUGCUUUCUGUCUGCUGGAUUGACUUUCUUGCUGCUUGCAGGACUAAAGUGGAAUUCAUUGUCUCUGUUUAAAUGCUUCAUCUUCAAUUUUGUCAUCCACGCUUUCUGGGUCAUCUCAUAAAUGCUGAGCCCUCUAACUAUUUAGGAAAUGUGAAAGAAAAAUAACUACCCAAAGCAUGGAGUUGAGUGC
rnacentral:lncRNA from 1 species